GGAUCGCAGGCUGCAACCCGCCUGCGUGAAGUCGGAAUCGCUAGUAAUCGCGGAUCAGCAUGCCGCGGUGAAUACGUUCCCGGGCCUUGUACACACCGCCCGUCACACCAUGAGAGUCGGGAACACCCGAAGUCCGUAGUCUAACCGCAAGGGGGACGCGGCCGAAGGUGGGUUCGAUAAUUGGGGUGAAGUCGUAACAAGGUAGC
rnacentral:rRNA from 1 species